GGCAUUUUCUUCCUUCUCUUACCCCUUUGGAUCACCAAAAUUACCAUUCAACCCACCGAUGGCAACGUAAUUCAAUUUCGAUCAAAAAUUGAAAAUUGCUUGUGAAUUCGAUCGUCUCACGAAGGGGAAUGCUUUGUCUUUGAGGCUCUAGGGUUCCUGGGUUUCUGGGAUUGAAUUUUUGUUUUUGUUGAAAUUGGGGGAGGACGGGUGAGGAAACCUGGGGAAUUGGGAGCUUGAAAGCGACGUCCUUGAGGGUGGGGAUAUGGAUUGUAGGGUGUGCGUGGCGGCCGGCGAUUUUCUGGUCCGUCUCAGCGGAGGGGUCGGCCAGAUCGGCGGGUUCAGCCAU
rnacentral:lncRNA from 1 species